rnacentral:rRNA from 1 species
GAUGAACGCUGGCGGCGUGCCUAAUACAUGCAAGUCGAGCGAACAGACGAGGAGCUUGCUCCUCUGACGUUAGCGGCGGACGGGUGAGUAACACGUGGAUAACCUACCUAUAAGACUGGGAUAACUUCGGGAAACCGGAGCUAAUACCGGAUAAUAUAUUGAACCGCAUGGAUCAAUAGUGAAAGACGGUUUUGCUGUCACUUAUAGAUGGAUUCGCGCCGCAUUAGCUAGUUGGUAAGGUAACGGCUUACCAAGGCAACGAUGCGUAGCCGACCUGAGAGGGUGAUCGGCCACACUGGAACUGAGACACGGUCCAGACUCCUACGGGAGGCAGCAGUAGGGAAUAUUCCGCAAUGGGCGAAAGCCUGACGGAGCAACGCCGCGUGAGUGAUGAAGGUCUUCGGAUCGUAAAACUCUGUUAUUGGGAAAGAACAAAUGUGUAAGUAACUAUGCACGUCUUGACGGUACCUAAUCAGAAAGCCACGGCUAACUACGUG